ACCCAUACAUCUUUAUAUUUUUUUAGCAAAUGCUCGUUCGGUUUUAGGUUGGGGUGACCAUGGAGUAAAAAAUAACCUCCACGAAAAAAGGCAUAAAACCCUUAUCAAAGAGCCACAUCUCUAUGAAUUAGUAAACUAAUUUCUGAUGAUCCGAUAUUCGAUCAACGAACCAAGUUACCCUGGGGAUAACAGCGCAAUCCGCCUUAAGAGCCCCUAUCGACAGGCGGGUUUACGACCUCGAUGUUGGAUCAGGGUAUCCCAGUGGUGCAACAGCUACUAAAGGUUCGUUUGUUCAACGAUUAAAACCCU
rnacentral:rRNA from 1 species